UUUACUUCUUGGCCUUUUGGCUAAGAACAAGUGUAGUAUUUGCUCUUGUCAGUUUAAUAUCUGAUAUGUUGAAUAGACUGCCUAGGGAAGUGAUGGAGUCACCAUCC
rnacentral:snRNA from 1 species